rnacentral:rRNA from 1 species
CCUACGGGCGGCAGCAGUGGGGAAUAUUGGACAAUGGGCGAAAGCCUGAUCCAGCCAUGCCGCGUGUGUGAAGAAGGCCUUCGGGUUGUAAAGCACUUUCAGUGGGGAAGAAAGCCUUGGGGCUAAUACCCUCGAGGAAGGACAUCACCCACAGAAGAAGCACCGGCUAACUCCGUGCCAGCAGCCGCGGUAAUACGGAGGGUGCGAGCGUUAAUCGGAAUUACUGGGCGUAAAGCGCGCGUAGGCGGUCUGAUAAGCCGGUUGUGAAAGCCCCGGGCUCAACCUGGGAACGGCAUCCGGAACUGUCAGGCUAGAGUGCAGGAGAGGAAGGUAGAAUUCCCGGUGUAGCGGUGAAAUGCGUAGAGAUCGGGAGGAAUACCAGUGGCGAAGGCGGCCUUCUGGACUGACACUGACGCUGAGGUGCGAAAGCGUGGGUAGCAAACAGGAUUAGAUACCCUGGUAGU